rnacentral:rRNA from 1 species
ACGAACGCUGGCGGCGUGCCUCAUCCAUGCAAGUAGAACGCUGAAGGAGGAGCUUGCUUCUCUGGAUGAGUUGCGAACGGGUGAGUAACGCGUAGGUAACCUGCCUGGUAGCGGGGGAUAACUAUUGGAAACGAUAGCUAAUACCGCAUAAUAGUAGAUGUUGCAUGACAUUUGCUUAAAAGGUGCAAUUGCAUCACUACCAGAUGGACCUGCGUUGUAUUAGCUAGUUGGUGAGGUAACGGCUCACCAAGGCGACGAUACAUAGCCGACCUGAGAGGGUGAACAGCCACACUGGGACUGAGACACGGCCCAGACUCCUACGGGAGGCAGCAGUAGGGAAUCUUCGGCAAUGGACGGAGGUCUGACCGAGCAACGCCGCGUGAGUGAAGAAGGUUUUCGGAUCGUAAAGCUCUGUUGUAAGAGAAGAACGGGUGUGAGAGUGGAAAGUUCACACUGUGACGGUAUCUUAACAGAAAGGGACGGCUAACUACGUG